GACGAACGCUGGCGGCGUGCUUAACACAUGCAAGUCGAACGGAAAGGCCCUGCUUGCAGGGUACUCGAGUGGCGAACGGGUGAGUAACACGUGGGUGAUCUGCCCUGCACUUCGGGAUAAGCCUGGGAAACUGGGUCUAAUACCGGAUAGGAGCCAUUUUUAGUGUGAUGGUUGGAAAGUUUUUUCGGUGUAGGAUGAGCUCGCGGCCUAUCAGCUUGUUGGUGGGGUAAUGGCCUACCAAGGCGGCGACGGGUAGCCGGCCUGAGAGGGUGGACGGCCACAUUGGGACGGAGAGACGGCCCAGACUCCUACGGGAGGCAGCAGUGGGGAAUAUUGCACAAUGGGCGCAAGCCGGAUGCAGCGACGCCGCGUGGGGGAUGACGGCCUUCGGGUUGUAAACGCCUUUCGCUAGGGACGAAGCUUUUUGUGACGGGACCUAGAUAAGAAGCACCGGCUAACUACGUG
rnacentral:rRNA from 1 species